rnacentral:rRNA from 1 species
AUGAUUCUCUCGGGGCUGCCGUCCCGACAUCCACCGCUCCGUCGCGCCCAGCGCAAUCAACUGGCACCGCCUUCCGGGGCCGCCGCCCCGACAUACCACCGCUUCCCUCGAGCAGCAACGCCGCACAACCCAGCUGCCCACAGCCCACGCUGCUCAGGGCAACCGCUCGCAGACCACGAUGGCGCACCGCAUCCGGGGCCGCCGCCCCGACGUAAAGUCAGAUCGCCCCCUCUAGGGCGCAUCGACUGA